GAAAUAAUAAAUAUUAAAUUUCUAAUUUAAAUAAUUUAAUGAUUAAAUUCAUUUUUAUUUCU
rnacentral:tRNA from 1 species